GCCCAAAAAAUGGCAAAAAGACAAAAAUAAAUAAAUAAAUAAAGUAUGUUGUGCUGUGUGAACCAUUAAAAAUACCUAAUGCUUUAUUACUUCAGGGCAGAUAAGAUACCAUUUGCUUUAUCACCCCUUCUUUUGAGUCACAUUUGCAUCCGAUUUCCAGUUAAAUUUCCCUUGUUUGUCACAGUGGUAAAUCUUUCAGAGGGUUGAGGCAUUGCAUUGAUUUCAAGACUACUCACAUUAGACCUAGUAGAAAAAGUAUGCAAAAGAGGAGGGGCAACAGAUUCCUGCAAAAGUCUGCAAAGUUCCUCAUAUCCUUAUACAAAGGGCUAGAUAUACACUUUACUGUACUUUCUGACCCAGAGCAAGUUAUAAUAUGCUUAUUUCAUAUUCAUCUUAUUUCUGGCUAUAGCUUAAAUCUUUCUUGACUACUUCUAAUAUAUAUAUAUAAACCUGGUGUCUUGUGGAUCUUUAUCAAUUGCUUUACAUUCUUUGUGGAACAAUGUAGGAUAUAAUCAAUGAACAUUUAUUAGGUUGAUUCAUAUGGAGUUACUGUUUCUAUAAGUAAAAAUGGUCAAAAAACCAUCGGUUUCACAUGAUCCAAACUGUUACUUAUGGUGCUUAUCUAAAUAUAUUUUAAUGCUGUCAUGCUCCAUAAUCCAAGUUCUUGAGGAUGUGCCAGUCAUGGUGGGAGAAUUACAGGAUAGAGAAGUAGCAGACCUGGAUUCUAAUCUCAGCUCUGCUACUAGGAAGCUGAAUAAUUAGGGGCAAGCAUCAUUUUGCCAAAUGAAUAGAAGAGCUCCAAUUCGCCUUACCGGAUUUUAAAAGGAGCAGAUACAGGCAAUAUGUGAACAUUCUUUAUAAAGUCCUAUAAAAAUGCAAGGGGUUAUUAUGUUGAAUUUAACUUACACAGAUACCUACCUCCAAGCCAUGCUUUUUGUUGUGCUCAGUACCCUAUACAGUGCCACUAGGGCUCAUUACCAAUCCUUUUUCUCUUCCAAUCACCUGCCUCCCUUCCUUUCUUAACUCCACCACCCAACCACAAUUCAGAUUCUGCUGAGUCUUUCUGCAUAUACAAUACCUUUGAUCACCCUCCUCUCACACUUCUGCAAGGGAAGCAUUCUUAUCCUAAUUUUAUAGACAUGGAGCCUGAAGUUCAGACACGUUAAGUAAUUCUGCCCGAGAACACACAUUUGCAAGUUAUACAGCUUUGAUUCAAACUUUGUUCCUCUGAUCCCAUGUUCACAACUCUUUCACAGUAAGAAUUCUGCUCAGGCACAUCUUCCGACCACUGCCACCUGAAGUGGAGUGUACAAAUGCAGCUAUACCAUUUGGUGGUUUUAGAAACUGGGGCAAGUUGCUCAAUCCCUCUUGCUUCAGUUUUCUCAUCUGUAAAAUGGGGUUCAUAGCAGACAACUGUGGUGUAAAUAACAAUAAAAUAACUCAUGUAGAGUGCUCAGCACAGGGCCUUGGCACAUGGAAAAUACUCAAUAAAUGUUAAUUUUGAAGAAGUUUGGGUACAUCUUUCAAAAUUCAGGAGGCCACAACUGUUCAGCUGUACUAUUUGUGGAAGCUUGGGGGCUAUCUUUAUUCUCCGCCUCUUCCUUCUGCAGUCACGGGAAGCAGUUAGAAGCUGAUCAGAAAUUGAGGUCCACGUUUGCUUUUGCGAUUCGAGAAUCCUAUCUCCUGGCUCUAGGGGCGGCGUUAGGUAGUCGCCUGCCGCAGAGAGCUGCGAAGGUCUGGGGCGGAGGAGACAAUGCCGCCCAGUGCUCAAUGGGCGCCGCGCGGCCCUUGGGCUCUGUCCGAGGUGCUGAACGCCGCGGUAUCGCGGUGCGCGGGCAGUGUGUCAGGGCGACCAUUGUUGCCAGUGUCUGUGAGCAUCUUCGUGGAGAAGGCCGAGUAUGGGGGUCAGGUGAAACCAGGACGCAGCUCUGCCUUCCUCCAGUUUCCUUCGUGAAACACCCUCGAAUCUCAGGAUGUCUGUCCACAGCGUGGGAAGGAGAGGGAGAGAAGAGUGGGCGAGUGUGACGCUUCAGGGACCACUGGAGGAGUAGGCAGACUUGAGGAAGGAAGAAGGGAGCAAGGGCCUUUUGGGGGACAGACUUGUCCUGGAACACACUUCCCGGAUACCUGGCCACCAAACUGACCUCAACUAACCUUUGGGAUUCACCAGGGUUGUUCAAAGAAGAGAUGAAGAUGGAAUCCGAGUUAAGCUCUUUGUUGCUGUUUCAUCUUUAAUUUAUAAUUUGAUUGCAUUGGGGUCAGAAAAUAUGAUCUAUUCUAUUUUGAACGUGAAAAUGUGGUAUUUUUCCAUUUUUUGAAAGUGGUUGGUGUUUGUCAUAUUAAUAGUAGUCAUGGUUUUUAAAUAUAAUUUCAAAUAAAAGUUCCAUAGCUCCUUGCAAAA